rnacentral:rRNA from 1 species
GAUGAACGCUGACAGAAUGCUUAACACAUGCAAGUCGAUGGGGAAGUGGUGCCUGCACCAUGGCGACCAUGGCGGACGGGUGUGUAACGCGUAAGGGUCUCACCUGCAGGACUGGGAUAACAGGGGGAAACUCCUGACAAGAUAGGAGAAUGUCAUGGAGCUGCAUGGCUUGAGGAUGAAAGGGGACGCCGGCGGGGAGCCUUGCGUCCUAUUAGCUAGUUGGUGAGGUAAUGGCUCACCAAGGCGGAGUUGGGUAGGCGGCCAGAGAGGGUGGACGGCCACAAGGGGACUGAGAUACGGCCCUUACUCCUGCGGGAGGCAGCAGUGGGGAAUAUUGGACUAUGGGGGCAACUCUGGUACAGCAAUUCUGUGUGCACGAAGAAGGUUUUCGGAUUGUAAAGUGCUUUCAGCAGGGAAGGAGUAAGUGACGGUACCUGCAGAAGAAGCGACGGCUAAAUACGUG